CGCACCUCACUAGGAAGUGGAACUACUCAGAAAACAUAUAAUAUUAAUAAAAAAGAGCAGCGGAAGUUUCUUGUAAUUUUUCCUAAAAGGAGCACUGAAAUUUCAGUCCUCUUUCAUUACUUCAAAAAUUCUAGCUCAGUCUUUUCUCUCUCUUCAUUUGCAAAUUUCAGAUUGGAUUUCUACUCACUCCGAUUCGACUCAUUUUCAAAACUAUGCAAGUCAGGUUUGGGAUCAAGUUGUUUCUUCUUCCCUAAUUUCAGAUCCACCUGUUCUAGCCCCAAUUUCAGGGUGACAAACCAUUACUAGCAUCGACAGAGGCAGACGAAAUCAGGGAUGAACUUUACCAAAAUCUGAAAGGAAAAAAAAAAGAUUGGAUUUCUACUCACUCCGAUUCGACGCAUUUUCAAAACUUCGCAAGUGAUUAGGUUGGGAUCAAGUCAUUUCUUCUUCCCUAAUUUCAGAUCCACCUGUUCUAGCCCCAAU